UAGACAUUGCAGGGACAUCAUGAUAGAUGGU
rnacentral:piRNA from 1 species